GACGAACGCUGGCGGCGUGCUUAACACAUGCAAGUCGAGCGGUAAGGCCCUCUCGGGGGUACACGAGCGGCGAACGGGUGAGUAACACGUGGGUGACCUGCCCUCAGCUCUGGGAUAAGCCUGGGAAACUGGGUCUAAUACUGGAUAUGACUCCACGGUGCAUGUCGUGGGGUGGAAAGCCUUGUGCGGCUGAGGAUGGGCCCGCGGCCUAUCAGCUUGUUGGUGGGGUGAUGGCCUACCAAGGCGACGACGGGUAGCCGGCCUGAGAGGGCGACCGGCCACACUGGGACUGAGACACGGCCCAGACUCCUACGGGAGGCAGCAGUGGGGGAUCUUGCGCAAUGGGCGAAAGCCUGACGCAGCGACGCCGCGUGAGGGAUGACGGCCU
rnacentral:rRNA from 1 species